GAGGAACGCUGGCGGCGUGCUUAACACAUGCAAGUCGAGCGGUAAGGCCUCUUCGGGGGUACACGAGCGGCGAACGGGUGAGUAACACGUGGGUGACCUGCCCUUCACUCUGGGAUAAGCCUGGGAAACUGGGUCUAAUACCGGAUAUUCAUUGCCUGUCGCAUGGUGGGUGGUGGAAAGUUUUUUCGGUGGGGGAUGGGCCCGCGGCCUAUCAGCUUGUUGGUGGGGUGAUGGCCUCCCAAGGCGACGACGGGUAGCCGGCCUGAGAGGGCGACCGGCCACACUGGGACUGAGACACGGCCCAGACUCCUACGGGAGGCAGCAGUGGGGAAUAUUGCGCAAUGGGCGGAAGCCUGACGCAGCGACGCCGCGUGGGGGAUGACGGCCUUCGGGUUGUAAACCUCUUUCGCCAGGGACGAAGCUUUUGUGACGGUACCUGGAUAAGAAGCACCGGCCAACUACGUGCCAGCCGCCGCUGUAAUAC
rnacentral:rRNA from 1 species